ensembl:lncRNA
CAAAGUGAAACGCAAUUAAUGUAAUAAAGACCAGCAGCCAGCACAUGCAUGGAGCCAGUCGGAGCAGCAGGGAUGGCUCCCCACGUUGCCCAAGCUCCAGGUGUUCCCUGCCUGUGCACAACAAGCAGCAGCUCUCCUCCCGUCUCCACUCCCUGGCAUUCCUGCGGAGCCGCAGUGCCAGCGCACAUCUCGGAGCUGCCUGGGAAUCUCCCAUCUCCUUUCAGCCUCUUUCACAACUCCACCACCAAGGAGGAGGGCCAAAUCCUGCCCGGCUGCUGGAGAAGCACGCUGUGGUUCUGCCAGAGCACCUUGUUCCCAUGGAUCCCAACGCACUUCAGAAGAGCAACCACAAGCUGGAACAGAGGGAGAACAGAAUCUCGCUCUCCCAACUUCAGAUGUGCAAUUAAACACCGAAUCACAUCUUCACAGUUACUGAAGCUGCUUUAAAAACUGCCAGCGACCACCGUCUGGAGAAGCCAAAAGAGAAUAAGCACAGCAUCCUCCAGGGGAAGGAAAAGAGCCCCAGCGGCCAAUCUGAGCGUGGAACAGUCCUUCCCAAAUUUGGAGAUGCUGCCUUAGUGCUGAGCAGGCACCGGAGAGGUGCGACCGUCUCCACCCAACUUCCCCAUCUCAGGUUGUGCCAAUCUGCAGCUCAUGAAAAGGAGGUGGAAAAGAAAACAAAAACUGAAAGCCAAUGACACAGAAACCAAGUUAAUC